rnacentral:lncRNA from 1 species
UAUAUUACAUAUAUAGAGUUGAGCUGGAAUGCCGGUAGCAAACGGGCUCCGUUGCCACCCAUUUGUUUUCAAUGAUGGAGCUUUCAAAUCGACGAUCGGCACCGUUGAACAUAAUCUAUAUCACUUGAAGUAUUUAGAAAUUAAAUUUCAAAUCUUUUCGACAUCAUUUACCUAAUGAUCAAAGUGUUUCAAAAUUAGUAAUUUUAAUGGUUGAUAUGAAGGGUUUUCUUGUUUAACGGUGUAAAGAUAUCCAAAUCAAUUGAAUUUUGGUUAGAAAAUUUUUUAAACUAUUUAGAACAAGAUCUAUACUCUUGAUCUUGACUACAAGACUCCUAUUAUUAUUUUUUAAAGAAUAUUCAUUUUCAGCCGUUCAUUUUUACGCCUACUCGAUGGACAAGAAAAUAAUAUCGAAAAAGUAUGAAAUUUGAUUUCUAGAUACUUCAAGUGGUAUAGAUCAUGUUCAAUGGUGCCGAUCGUCAAUUUGGAGGCCUCAACAUCAUCGAACAAAUGGGUGCAACGGAAGCUCGUUUAUACAUAGAUAGUAUUCCUAACUCAACUAAUAUAUAUAAUAUAUAUACUAUAUUAAUAUAUAUAUAUAUAUAGUAUAUUAGUAUAUAGUAUAUAUAUAUAAUAUAUAUAUAAAUAGAUUAUAUAUAUAUAUAGUCCGGCUACUAUACUCUUAUGAAUACGAUCGUUUUCGUACUAAUAAGUUAUUUUCGAUGGUAGAGUUUCUGAAUCGACGAUUCAUACCGUUAAAUAUUAUCUAGAGCAUUUAAAAAUUUUCAGAAAUCAAAUUUUAUAAUUUUUCGAUAUUAUUUACCUUACGAUUAAACGGUCACAAAAUUGACAAUUUUUAAUGGCCGGUAUGGAUCACCAAAUUGAUAAAAAUGAAACCACAGGGCGCCAAAUUGAUACACUUUAAACCACAGGACACUCAAGUAAGAAGUACGAAACCACAGGGGGUUUUUGAAGUUUUUCCAAAAUUUUUUAUAAUUUAGCUUUUUGUAAUUAAAUAGUAAACUUUAAUUAGUUUUAACUAUUUCUAGAUGUAAAAUAAUAAGGCAGUGUUUGAUUAGGGGAUAGGAAUAGGGAUAGACCUUUAUACCCCCUUUAUAUCCAAACGCUAAAUUUUUAUUCGAGAACAGUAGUUCUCGGUUACCUAUAAUAACCGAUUAUAAUUAUCCCCACCAACACCUCCAUUUUCUAUAUAAAAUUACUUAAUAUUUUUCUUAUUUCAUAUUAUUUAUCCGAACGCUAUUUUUCUUAUCCUCGGAAACAACCAAAUUUUCAUCCAAAUACUAUUUUUUUUAUCCUCAUUCUUGUCCCUAUCCCUGUAAUAGCUAGUUUUGCUUAUAUCCGGACCAAACGGUACCUAAAGCAUUAAUUACU